UACGGAGGGUGCAAGCGUUAUCCGGAAUCAUUGGGUUUAAAGGGUCCGCAGGCGGUCUUAUAAGUCAGUGGUGAAAGCCUACAGCUCAACUGUAGAACUGCCAUUGAUACUGUAAGACUUGAAUUCGAUCGAAGUGGGCGGAAUAUGACAUGUAGCGGUGAAAUGCUUAGAUAUGUCAUAGAACACCGAUAGCGAAGGCAGCUCACUAGGUCUGGAUUGACG
rnacentral:rRNA from 1 species